rnacentral:misc_RNA from 1 species
CAUGGGAUAAAACUGCUUUCAAAUAUGAUCCAUCAAAGAAAUGACAGUGGCAUUUACAUUGUAUGCACAACACAAAUUCACAAAUUGGAAAACACCAUUAGAACUAGCAAAAUCAGUUUAAUACAGAAAUGAAUCAUUAGAAGAAAAAAACUCAAAAAAAAAUCUCUAUAACUACUUUCAUAUGAAAUAGGGUACAGUAAAUUACACACAUACCAUAGGAAACAGUUUGUGGGUUCAGAAACCUUUGUUUUGCAUUCUCAAUCUCUGACAAGACAGGGAAUAUUUUCCAAGUUCAAGAGACUUUUCUUCAGCUACAGCAUAGAAGCUCUCCAAACUAUUCUUGGUAAGAUAGCUUUCAUGUUUGCAUCACUAUUCACUUCUGUAUAGUUGUCCAUUUUGAUCCUCACUUCAUUUGAGUGAACAAUCAAUUUUAUUUGAAACAAAAAGUCAAAUUUUAUUCAGAUAUGUACAGCAAAAUAAAACUGGUACACCUCAUUAUUUGGAAGAAAGAUUGGUGUGCCAGACAUGGCCAGCUGCAAACUACACUAAAUAUUUUGACAUGAGCUUACUAUGAUGCAUCAAUAAGUAUUGCUGAAGUUUACUACAGGUAUGCAUGAUCUCAGGAUGAACAAAAAAAAUGAUCAAAAAGUAUGCUCAAAUUUCAGAAUACAGACGGACUAAGCGCAAGGAAUCAAAGGGUGUGUUCAAGCGCCACUCCCUUUGUUUUUUGCUAAGAGGUCUUCCUUUCCCUGCUUUUUCUCUAUUUAUCCUCACAUCUGCCAAGCCCCAAGUGCAACAUUUUGUUUCCAUGUCAAAGGAAAUAAGCCUAAAAAUGCCAUCACUUUCCGAGAAUGAAUCUGACACAACUAUCUUACUGACAUAUUUCACAUACAUAGGCCGAUCCUUGAACCGAUCUAGCUCUUCUGGAAUUCGGACCACCCUUUCAACACCUGGAGAUGAUACCUGAGGCAAAUUUGGGCCUUAAAAUGUUAAAAUUAGCAAAUUAUUGAGAAGGCAAACUUCAUUCCAGUUUGAUGAGUCAAGCUCCGGCUCAUAGUCACAACCCUAAUAAAUGAGCUAAACAUGAGCUAAGCUCAAGAGUGUGAUAAAUGAGUUAAAUGUAAGCCAAGCUUGAAUCGAGCUCAAGUAUAAUAAAUCUAAACGAGCCAAACUCGAACUUCAUAUUCAAACUCGAGCUUAAUGAAAAUUGAUGAGCAGAGCCUACGCUCUUCAAAGCUCGGCUUGGUUUGUAUACAUCCCCACCCAUUAGCCUAUAAAACAAGAAGUUGUGUUGGCACAUAUGAAUCCUAAUUUUCAUCAAGAAUUUACCUGAAAAGGACUAACUCAUUCUUACACAGCACAUACUGAAAUCAUUACCUCCAAAGAUAUAUUGUUUGGUAUAGUCUUAGCAAGCUCAGCUUCAUCCAACCAAGCUCUAUAGGUUGUGGAAAACGCUUCAAUAUCUUCCAUACUAGGGGAACCAGACUUAUUUGUAAGCCUCUCGAUGCGCACUUGAAUGGUAGAAUUUGACAAUGUCUUAAAGGCAUAUAUUUUCAACUCGCCAUCAAAGGAUUGGCAAACUUCUUCAGCUAUUCUCAAUGCUUCUUUGUCCCACCAUGUCCCAGCAAGGGCA